GAUGAAGAACGUAGCGAAAUGCGAUAAGUAAUGUGAAUUGCAGAAUUCAGUGAAUCAUCGAGUCUUUGAACGCACAUUGCGCCCCCUGGUAUUCCGGGGGGCAUGCCUGUCCGAGCGUCAUUGCUGCCCUCAAGCACGGCUUGUGUGUUGGGCCCCCGUCACCGGUUUCCCCCGGGGACGGGCCCGAAAGGCAGCGGCGGCACCGCGUCCGGUCCUCGAGCGUAUGGGGCUUUGUCACCCGCUCUGUAGGCCCGGCCGGCGCCAGCCGACACCCAACUUUAUUUCUAAGGUUGACCUCGGAUCAGGUAGGGAUACCCGCUGAACUUAAGCAUAUCAAUAAGCGGAGGA
rnacentral:misc_RNA from 1 species